AAUCACUGCACACCUGCCAGGCCUGCCCCACUUCCGAGCAGACAGAAAGCCCCGGGACUCUUCAAACGGGUGCAGUGCCAAUGUGCUCAGACCCAGCAUCGCUGGGGAGACUCUGCAACCCUCCUUGCAGGCUCUGCAAAGCAAGUGCUUGCUGGGCCUCUCGGGAAGUUAAUUGUUCUGAUGACUACUUCACGAUGGAGGGAAAGUGGUUCCUUCAUCCUUUUGCCUCCCCAAAGUAUCAAACGGGUCAGAGGAGGCCAGAAAGAGGGCAGCAAUUCAGCAGCUCCAGAUGCUGGAAACAGGCCAGACCCUCGAUAUUUGGAAUGGUUACUAUAUAAAAUAGUGCCAGCUUCCUCGGGAAUUAGCACUGCUCUGUGCUGAGCCAGAAGGCCCUGCCUCCUAGUCUUCCUUGCCUGAAUGGUCCCUGAGCAGGCCACUGCACACAUCUCCUCGGGAGGCAAGGUGUCCACCACCAUGAAGCCCUUAGCGGUGACUCAGCCUUCAACUUCCAGCCUCCAAGCUGCAAGAAAUCACCUGAUGGGAGAAGCCUUGAGGAACUCCUAUCCACUGCCUUAGUUCCCCAUUUGGACUUCCUACAGAAGAUUUCCUCUUUGCUCACCAAAAUGUUGGAGAAUUUCUACCACCAGACCAGCUGCAUACAGUCAACUGUCCACCAGACCAGCUGGGUGUACCACUAACUCCACUUUCCUGUAACCAACCUGGAGACAGAAUCAGAUCAUUUUCAACAGCCAGACAACAGCCAACAGCAGAGCACAAGUUGUAUAGGAGGGGGCUUGGAGCAUCUCUGUGGUGUAUGGGAGGGGCUUGGAACAUCCCUGUGGUAUAUGGGAGGGGGCUUGGAGCAUCCCUGUGCUAUGUGGGAGGGGGCUGGGAGCAUCCCUGUGGUGUAUGGGAGGGGGCUGGGAGCAUCCCUGUGGUGUGUGGGAGGGGCUUGGAGCAUCCCUGUGGUGUGUGGGAGGGGCUGGGAGCAUCCCUGUGCUGUGUGUGUGUGUGUGUGUGUGUGUGUGUGCACACAAGCGUGCGCUCCUCUCCAGCAACUCUACUUGUUCAAUUUUUCCAGCAGCCAGCUUGUGCCUUGUCUUGUAAGGUUUUUUGUUUCUUCCAGAGCAUGACUGAUUAUGGCACUGGUCGUGAUAAUUAACUCUACCUCCUUUCCCAUCCCUGGAUGUCAAAUAGGGGAGAUCAUGAAGAACUUGGCUUCAGAUAUGAAUCAGCUCGUUUUCUGUUUUGUCUUGUUUGUGAGUCUUGACCCCUUGGGCAUCAAAUGACCCUCUCAUGGAUGGGUGUCACAGAUACCCUGCAUAUCAGAUAUUUACACUGCAAUUCAUAACAGUAGCAAAAUUGCGGUUAUGAAGUAGCAACAGCAACGAAGACAAUUUUAUCAUUGAAGGUCACCACGACGUGAACUGCAUUAAAGGGUCCCAGCAUUAGGAAGGUUGAGAAUAUGUAGAUCUGGCUGGCCUAGGAACUCACAAAGAUCUGCGUACCUCUGCUACAACUAAAGGCCUGUGCCACCACGCCUAGCCCACAUUAAUUCUUUAAUGGGUUCACCAUUUGAUACAGUGCUGGGACCACAGAAAAUACAGAAGGUAUGACUGUGGGCAAGCAUCAGUGGGCAGUAUCUCUCAUACACCAAGCCCUGGUUCCAUCUUAAGCAUCCCGAGAACUGUGACGUGAUGGCUGAGCCUAUAGCUGAGCACUAGGGGUGCAUACUCAGCACUCAAGACAAGAAAAUCAAGGUCUUCCCUCAGUCCUGGGCCAGACUGUGGGACACAUGAGGCUAUCUCAAGCCACCCCAGCCA
rnacentral:lncRNA from 1 species